GAUGAACGCUGGCGGCGUGCCUAAUACAUGCAAGUCGAGCGAACAGACGAGGAGCUUGCUCCUCUGACGUUAGCGGCGGACGGGUGAGUAACACGUGGAUAACCUACCUAUAAGACUGGGAUAACUUCGGGAAACCGGAGCUAAUACCGGAUAAUAUAUUGAACCGCAUGGUUCAAUAGUGAAAGACGGUUUUGCUGUCACUUAUAGAUGGAUCCGCGCCGCAUUAGCUAGUUGGUAAGGUAACGGCUUACCAAGGCAACGAUGCGUAGCCGACCUGAGAGGGUGAUCGGCCACACUGGAACUGAGACACGGUCCAGACUCCGACGGGAGGCAGCAGUAGGGAAUCUUCCGCAAUGGGCGAAAGCCUGACGGAGCAACGCCGCGUGAGUGAUGAAGGUCUGCGGAUCGUAAAACGCUGUUAUUAGGGAAGAACAAAUGUGUAAGUAACGAUGCACGUCUGGACGGUACCUAAGCAGAAAGCCACGGCUAACUACGU
rnacentral:rRNA from 1 species